rnacentral:rRNA from 1 species
AGUUCGGAUUGAAGGCUGAAAUUCGCCUUCAUGAAGCCGGAAUUGCUAGUAAUGGCAGGUCAGCAUACUGCCGUGAAUACGUUCCCGGGCCUUGUACACACCGCCCGUCACACCAUGAGAGUUGGGAAUACCCGAAGCCUGUGAGCUAACGAAAGAGGCAGCAGUCGAAGGUAGAAUCAAUGAUUGGGGUGAAGUCGUAACAAGGUAGC